rnacentral:sRNA from 1 species
UUUUACUACUCUUUACUGGGAAAUGAUGUUACAAAUGAACCCUUCAAUGAUUUAAUCAACCCAAACUUUGAGCCAGAGAGAGCAUCAGUUCGCAUCCGUAGCAGUGUAGAAAUUCUUCGUGUUUACCUGGCUCUUCAGUCUAAACUGCAGAUUCACCUCUGCUGUGGAGACCAGUCACUUGGAAGUACAGAAAUACCUUUAACUGGAUUACUUAAAAAGGGCAGUACAGAAAUCAACCAGCACCCAGUCACAGUCGAAGGUGCUUUUACCCUUGACCCUCCAAACAGAGCCAAACAGAAGCUUGCACCUAUUCCUGUGGAGCUAGCCCCAACUGUGGGAGUGUCUGUGGCUCUGCAGAGAGAAGGCAUAGACUCCCAGGCAAGUAGUGGCCCUCCUUCAUUCCCCUGGCUUCACUAGUCCCACGCAUGAUUACUUACAAAAGUUGAAUUUCAGAAGAGUUACCUUCAUAAGGAUAUAUUUAUUAAUCUUAAUUAGUGACCUUUGUUAUAUGAUACCUCCUUUCUGAAAAGUGCUGUGACUUCUGUUAUGGUUUAUAAGUGAUUCUACCCAGAGCCCUCU